CUGAGGCUGUGUGUUUGUGCAGAAGGCCCCACCUGGGAGAGAGCAACCCCGGCAAACACAGAGCGCUCUACCUAGAAAUCACAGUUGGGAAAGUUUCAGAAAGACUCAACCCUACAACUCCCAGGCAGGCCUGAGACAUC
rnacentral:Y_RNA from 1 species